CUCUCAUUUUUACAAAUUUUCUGUUUUAGCUGCGUCUCUUCCUCCUCCCACUCCCUUUAACCUUUCCCGAUUGCGUCUCUCUCUCUUCCAACUACCUUUCUCCAUUCUUCAAACCAAAGUCUUGACUCUCUACGUCGUGGGUCAGCAUCUUGACUCUCUAUGCCGUGCGUGAGUAGUGAGUACGUCUGUCGUCUGCAGUCUACCAUGCUUGGUGCAUCUAUGGUGCUGUCUGUGGUCUGCUGUCUUUGAAGUGAACCCUCUGCCGUUCGCCGUCUCUCUAAUUUCCAAUCACUGCCUUCUUCUUGAAGAUAUCAUCUGCAUGACUAUGUUGGAUGGGGAAGACUACGUGGGAAGGAAUAAUUGUUCAACUAUAGACACUCCUUGUGUCGUAACAUUAUUGAACGUUGCAUUGGAGUUUUAAAGGCAAUAUUUUUUAUUUUGAAAUUGAUUACCAAUUAUCAAUUUAAUAGGCAAAGACAAAUUCCUACUGCAUAUUGCGUAAUAAACAUAUUUAUUCGUCAUGAGCACAUUUAGAUAAGUUGUUCGGAGAGUAUUCAAAGGAAAAUACGGUGUUUCAAGACAUACCAGAAUCAAGUCAAGAUCAAGAAGUCAUACAUUUUUAUGUAAGUCAAACGGUACAAAUGGGACAAGUCAGGGAUCAAAUUGCUACACAAAUGUGAAAUGACUACUCAAGAUAUCGUAUAUGAUUUCGUGGAUGUAUUUUAUAUUUUGUUUUAGUGUCCACUUGUUUUUUCAUGACACAUAAACUUCUAAUAGUAUCUAUUGAACUGUGUUGUCAAAUUUAA